GGUGGGGGGAGGAGGCAGUAUGGUGUAGCCCCUUCGUCCAACGUACGCCGUGUCAGAGGGGAGCGUACGAGAAGGUAGCGGACCUCAACACUCGCUGGGCGCGGCGCAAUCAUUGGCUCGGCGCCCAAUGGGAGGCCGUUAGGUAAGCCCGGCCGGUGGAGGACCAACAGAGUGGGGCGGCGACACGAAACCAUUGGCCUCUGCCAGUAGCUGGGUGGCCGACAGUAGGAUUUGGCGGUGGGGCAGCCACCCGAGCUUGGCCGUACCUCCCCCGCCCCAGCGUCGCCAUCCGACCGGGCGAGCCUGCACCACGGACGUACCUACGCCUCUCCGUCGUCGGCGUGAAGGCUGGUGGGCCGUCCCUCCCCCUCUCUCUCUCUCUAGGGAGGACACGAUUCAAGAAAGAUAGGUUGGAGUGUACUCGCCUCCACUUCCCGGAAUGUAGAUUGACUAGUUUAUCCCUGGCUCUCCUACACCAAUAUCUAGUGACAACAAAUUAGUGUCACAUGAACAACAUAUUAACCUAUAGCGAUACGAUAGAUAAGUAGUCAUGGUCAUAAAUUAGACAUCUAUGUAAUGUAGAUUGACUGGUUUAUCCCAAUAUCUAGUGACAACAAAUUAGUGUCACAUGAACAACACAUUAACCUGUAGCGAUUAUGAUAAGUCAUGGUUAUAAAUUGUACAUCUAUGUGUUACACGGCCAUCCUUCAAGUCCAGUCCCGUACAUAUCAACGUUUAUUUUAUUGACUGACUGACUCAUCCUUUGACCUUCAGCAUGAUGUAAACCUGUGAUUGAUAGGUGUCGGCAUAAGGACGAUCGUUGUGCAUCAUAUUGGGUUUGGUGGAUCAUCAAAUAGGACUCUAGAGGAGGUCUAUUCCACUGUUCUACAUGAUGGGGGGUAAAAUGGGCAUUGUGCAACGGAGACCAGCAGAAGAUAUUUCCAAUUGGCUACUUAUGUGGCUCAUGCAUCAAACACCAAUAGAGUUCUGAACGAGAGUGCAAGCAGAAUUUGAAGAGAAGAGUCACCCAAGUUCUCUUACCUCUCUCUCUCUCUCGCAUCUACCGACGGGCAUCCGUACCUCUGAAGCUUCCGGAACCUUCAGAAGCCACCGGAAUGCAAGACUUUGGGGCGAUCCCCGGCGGAGGAGGAGGAGGAGGAGGAGCAGGGCGCGUCAGGGACUACCCUCCUCUGCCGCCGGCGCAGCCGCAGCUUCCCGUCAAGUGCCCCCGCUGUGACUCCACCAACACCAAAUUCUGCUACUACAACAACUACAACCUCGCCCAGCCCCGCCACUUCUGCAAGUCCUGCCGCCGCUACUGGACCAAAGGCGGCGUCCUCCGCAACGUUCCGGUCGGCGGCGGAUGCCGCAAGUCCAAGCGAUCCUCCAUGUCUAAGCCCUCCGGUGGCUCCGAGCGUAAGGACCCACCCCGCCGUCUCUCUGCCGCCCCUCGAUCCAGCAGCGGCAGUGGCAGUGGCAGUGGCAGCGGCUGCUCCACUCUCGCAACCGCCGAUGUGCCCACGUCCACCACCCCCUUCCCCAAUUCGGCCCUCCUGACCCCUCCUCCUGACCCUAACCCCGAUCCGGCCCCUUCCUUCGAUUCAGCGACGACGAUGGAGGUUCCACUGGUCCAGGCAGCGGAUAUCUUCCCGGAUACAUCCACCGCCGCAGCGGGGAGCUUCCCGAGCCAGAUGUCGCUCGCUUCAACGCCGGCGAUCCUGGGAUUCAACAGAUUUCCCGAUUCACCACCCGUUCCGCUCCCGCCACAGUCGAAAGCUGCGGAGGAGAUCAGCGCACAGACGGGGUUCACGAAUCAGGCGGUCGCGAUCGACCCACGCGGGGCGGGCUCCGGCGCCGGGUGUGCGAUCGCCGGGAUGGACUGGCCCGGUGCGUCGGUAGACCCGGCGUUCUUCGAUCUCGCCACCGCUGUCGACCCCGCGUCGGCGUACUGGAGCCACGGCCACUGGGAAGACGCCGACCCCGCUCUCUACCUGCCUUGAUUCAACCCCGUAACUGAUUUCAGGUGAUUUAAACUUUAGAUGAGAUUGAGCCGCAGAAAACCAGCAAAGAUAAUAGGUGUAUUCCAGGAGCAAUUUUUUAUUAGGUCGUGCACCGUUCUCUCUCAUCUCCCUCAUCCUAUUCUGCAUUGACAUGGGUGAAGAUUAGGUGCAUAGCCCACAUCGAGCAAUAAACAAGCUAAAGAAGUAGCUCACAUGGAUCUGCAAAAGACUGGUGAUGAUUGGUGAAGCACCUGUUAUCGGAUUGUCUGCAACACAUUGGAGCUGUAUAUACCAGCAGAGAAUCUUGAAUUUAGAGGUGAUGAACAGGUCAUGCACCCCUCGGACACUGAAACUUUGGGUGCACCUGAUCACCUCAAAUGCUGUAUGUGCUGUUGUCGAUCGUACUACUGCAGUGUUAGAUUUCCUAACCACGGAGAUGGGGAAAAGAGAAGACCAUUGUUCAUUGCUUCUCUUGCAACUUGAGUCUUGAAGCACAGCAAAGUAGGCAUACACUGUCACAAGUUUAUAAAGAUGUCAGUGAUCCUGUAGGAUACUGUUGGAUUCCACAAUCCUUUAUGUCAUGUGAUCAAUCACUGAAUAGUACAACUAUGUAGUAUUUGCCCCUGGCAGCAUAUAUAUGUUCUUGCAAGCUUGGAAAUAGUGGAUUUUGUCUAGCAUA